AACGUAGGACGCAAGCGUUAUCCGGAAUUACUGGGCGUAAAGCGCGUGUAGGUGGUUGCGUAAGUCACUGUUGAAAGCUCCCGGCUAAACUGGGAGAGGUGCGGUGAGACUGCGUGGCUAGAGUAUGGGAGAGGGAGGCAGAAUUCCGGGUGUAGUGGUGAAAUGCGUAGAGAUCCGGAGGAAUACCAGAGGCGAAGGCGGCCUCCUGGCCCAAAACUGACACUGAGACGCGAAAGCAUGGGGAGCGAACGGG
rnacentral:rRNA from 1 species